UGGGAACGUGCCCAAAGGUACGGAACAACUCCGGGAAACUGGAGCUAAUACCGUAUGUGCCCGAAAGGGGAAAGAUUCAUCGCCUUUGGAUCGGCCCGCGUCUGAUUUAGCUAGUUGGCGGGGUAAUGGCCCACCAAGGCGACGAUCAGUAGCUGGUCUGAGAGGAUGACCAGCCACACUGGGACUGAGACACGGCCCAGACUCCUACGGGAGGCAG
rnacentral:rRNA from 1 species